CUCUGUGUCAUGAUCUGACUUGGCUUUGGAGGUGUGGUUUCAGACUGGGAGAGCAGGUUUCCCUGGUUACCUGGGCGGAGUCUGGUGGCUGCCUGCUGUCACACCUAUACUGUAUUUACGAUCGUCAGGAACCCCUCUUAAGGAACAGCAGGAGCACCAGUCUUCGCCAGAUCGUUUUGCCUUCCUAGUGUCCCAUCCCAGCCUGCUUCGCCGGAACCUGACGGAUUCCCCGGCUUCCCCUCUCGCCCUCCGCGGCUUGGGAGAACUCCUCAAGCCAGUCGGAUCAUUACCUCUCCCUCCAGCGUGGAUUCUAUCUACCGCACCGCUCCUGCCGCCAGCUCCAGGAACACCACUCCCUUCCACCACAAUGUGCGAGAAUGACAUGUUAACCUAUUGCAUUCGACUGUCUUCCACUUUGUCUGAUGUAAGAAAACAGGUUGUAGCUGCACUUCCGAGAGAAGCAACGGGUCCACUACACCGACUGCAACCAGGUGACUUCGUGGUGGUGAAGGACUUCAGGAGGAAAAGUUGGAAAGCUAAACGGUGGCAGGGUCCAUUCCAGAUUCUCCUGGUCACCCAAACAGCGGUCAAGGUACCUGAAAGGGCGACUUGGGUCCACGCAUCCCAUUGCAAGAAGGUUCCAGAUCCAGUACCAGCAGUGGGCUCAGGCGACCCUACCUCCACAACAAGUGUCAAUCAACCGACACCACCGAUCCAGUGACCACGGACAGGCAGUUGACCGACAGACACACAGUGCAUUGUGAUCUGUGUUGACUGUCUACAACACGGGUGCCUCACAAGAAAGAAGGUUGGCAGACUCCACAUCCCAACGUGUACCUGCGGACCAACACAAGAAGAAGAACACGGCCAGGACCCCUCCACAUAGACACAGUAGUCGUUUGUGCCACGACAGUUUUUUAGGGAGUUUUUGUUCUGUGGCAGGCAAAGUUUUGUGAGCGAUGUUCAGAUGUUCAUGUUUGUGAUAUUUGAUGGAUGAACUAUUUAAGUCUCUCUGCUGCCAAAAUAAAAAAAUUGUAUCCUCUGAAUCCUGCUUUUGAGUUCAACCCUCGUUCUGACUAUCACCCGAUGACAUUAGGAUCUGGCCAAACGUGGACUCGGCGG
ensembl:lncRNA